rnacentral:tRNA from 1 species
UGGAUAUUAGUUAAUUAAUAUAACUUUUAAAUUGCAAUUAAAAAUAAAUUUUUAUAAUUAUAUCUUU